GCCUGUAGCUCAGCUGGUUAGAGCGCACGCCUGAUAAGCGUGAGGUCGAUGGUUCGAAUCCUGCCUGUGGAGCCA
rnacentral:tRNA from 1 species